CUGGCCAGGUCCAAGACCAGAGACGCCAGAGAACUGGCCUGAUAUGUCAGGGACGGAGCAGAGGUUCAAACCUGGGUCACCUCCCAAGGGCGACCUGGGUCCUCCGGGUCUUACCCUUGGGCGAUGCCACCGGCUUUUCUGGUUGCUGGGGUAACCCGGAGUGACAGGGACGCUCUGGGAAGCCCCGCCCUGGCCCCGCCCCACCCCUGCACCGGGCUCCCGGGACAGCAGAGUUGGGCACACUAAGCGCGAGUCCCUCGGGCGGGCGGUAUGGCACGGCCGGUGCAGCUGGCGCCGGGCUCGCUGGCGCUGGUGCUGAGCCCGCGGGAGGCCGGGCAGGCGGCCGGGGAGCCGGGCGGCCGCGCGCUCUUCCGCGCCUUCCGCCGCGCCAACGCGCGCUGCUUCUGGAACGCACGGCUGGCGCGCGCCGCCUCGCGGCUGGCCUUUCUCGGCUGGCUGCGGCGCGGGGUGCUGCUGGUGCGCGCGCCCCAGCCCUGCGUGCAGGUGCUGCGGGAUGCGUGGCGUCGCCGAGCUCUGAGGCCGCCCCGAGGUUUCCGCAUCACCGCGGUGGGCGAUGUCUUCCCAGUGCAAAUGAGUCUCAUAGCCCAGCGUCGCUUUGUGCCCUUGGCUGAAGUUCUCUGCUGUGUUAUAGCCGAUAUGAACGCAGGUCAGGUGGCUGUGACACAGGAGGCUCUCUUGGAGCACUUGAUGAAACAUUAUCCAGGUAUUGCUGUUCCCUCCCCAGACAUUCUCUACAGCACACUGGGGACUCUAAUUCAACAGAGGAAGAUUUACCACACUGGAGAAGGCUACUUCAUAGUUACCCCAAACACGUACUUCAUCACAAAUACAACCAUGCAAGGAAAUAAGAGAGCCCUCCUGUCAGAUGAAGGGUGCUCAGGGUCCACGUCAGGGACCUAUCUGGUGAGCGUGGAUAGCUGUGCAGAGCCCACCCAGGAGAACGAGGUUCCUGUUUCCCACUGCCCAUCAUGCCAGUGUUACCCUGAUACAAGCAAGCAUGGCUCUAAGGACCUAAUGACUACUGCAGAAGUCUCUAGAAAAAGACAGAACGGUCUUGACAAGCCCACAGUCUUGACUAAGAAUCAGGUAGUUUCAGCAUCUGAAGACACCCACAUCUGUGUGAGCCCCAAACCAUCAUCAUACACCAAGGACAAAGGCAAAAGAUUUGGUUUCGGUUUCUUGUGGCGCAGCUUAUCUAGAAAAGAGAAGCCCAAGGCGGGGUAUCACAGUUUCUCUGCACAGUUCCCACCCGAAGAGUGGCCUGUCCGAGACGAGGACAGUUCCAACAACAUCCCCCGAGACGUGGAACAUGCAAUAAUCAAAAGGAUUAACCCUGUACUGACUGUUGACAACUUAACCAGGCACACCGCCCUAAUGCAAAAAUAUGAAGAACAGAAAAAACAUAACAGCCAGGGCACGUCAACGGAUGUACUGCCAAGCAGGCAUAAGUAUUCCUCGAAAGAGGCAACUCGGAGAAGGCAGGGCCAGGCAGCCAAGCCCCACAAGCGGAGCUGUUCUCAUAAGGGUAGACAGAAAGCAUGGAGCCAGACACGUGAGCUUGAGCCUGGAAGCCCUGAACAGGAAAAGGAAAAGAACCCCAAGGUCCCUGCAGCCCAGCCUGCUGCGAGCACAAAGAGCCCCAGUGAACGAGUUCAUCACUUGCAUGGUAGGAAUCCAGCUGUGCUAGGUUCCCACUUGAUUUAUAAAAAGCAGAUCAACAAUCCGUUUCAGGGCAUGCAUCUCCGAGGGCACCCCGCAUCCAAAGGGUACAUCGUUCAGAAGACCCACAAACCUAGUUGCAUCGGGCCAGAGGAAAAGCCUUUCCGGAGGGCAGGCUUUUCUGGUCCUUCCAGAGUCUUUGAUGGUGAAGCCCAACCUCCAUGUCUGGAACAUUGCCGUGAUAAACUGGAAGCAGAAACCACGCAUGUGGCGAAGGCUCCUAUCCAUCCAGUCAGCGACGAUUUCAGAGGUGGCCCAGGAAAUUAUCCUCCACAUAGAGUUUUGACAAGCCACUCUCGGUGCUGUUCCUUCAGGGAAAGUACGCUGCGAGCUGCUGUGUAUCACGAGGAAAACAAGGUCCUCCCUGAAGUCUUGAGGAAAAGUUGGUCCGACUGUGACAUGUUCUUAGGGACCAAGGAAAAGAAGCAGGUCCUGCCUGCACAACGUAGCUCUUUAGACCCAGACUCCUCUGUGUAUGCAGAGGAUAAGACAGUGGAUAAGACAGUACACCAGUUCCAAAACCUCGGCCUCUUAGAUUGCCCAGUUGGUGCAAACCGUUUGAGGACUCAUGAAAGACAAGAUGGCGACUCAGAAAAACUAAGUAGGAAGGCGUUUCAAAUCCCAGAGGCGGAGAUUGUGAAUAUGGAAGAGGAGGGGCUUUCUGACAGUGAGCAGGACGAGGUGGCCUUGAGUCAGAGUGACCCCGGGGCUGGGGAUGAUGGGGGCUGCAGUUCUCUGUGUUUAGAGGAUGACUUCUCUGAGACAGAUGAUUUCUGUCACACACUGCCUGGAUACACCCAGUACUCCUUUGCCGCUGGAAACUCGUGGAAUCAUUUGGGAAGACCAACCAUGACUGGAAGAUCUCUGACUGACUGUAAUAGCAAAACCCAUAGGCUUGAGCCUCUAGGGAUUGAAAGGAAUCACUGGUACAAGGCCACAGGGUCGUUUUCAAAUGCCAGGGAAAGCCCAAACCCUGAUCUCGCUGACAACCCUGGCCUAAAUUCAGAGAUUCCUCCGGGUUUCAACUACGAAGGAGAGCCCGUUGUUGCCCAUGUCCAGACCCCAGCAGCUGCUGGCCAAAGUUUACUUGAGCGUUCUAUUGUAAGGGAGGCCAGUCUCCCGGUUGAGAUCCUGCAAGAUUCUCCUGGUGAUAGGGGGGAGAAUCCAGCUGUCUGGAGACAGAGCCUUCCAAGUCAGGAAAUGAAAAAGCAUUUCACAGACAAGUUACAGCUUGUCAAGACCUCACACGUGCCAGCGUUGGCUCACCUGGAAGGCACGGAGAAUUCCAGCAUGGCGGGAGACAGUGGGAUUGAUUCCCCCAGGUAAGGGUGCAGAGGGCGUGAUGUGUCAGCGACUCAUCAGGAGUUGGUGUGGAGCCGCCCCAGUGAGGGAAUCCAGAAAUAAAAGUGUAACAAUUCCAAUGGCGUUGGGAGAGCAAAUCUUAUCAAAUUACAAUGGGGUAACAUGUGGUAGGACGGAGGUCACUUUUAAAAAAUAUUUUCUUUGAGAAUUUCAGACAAUAUAUAUCUUAAGGUUUAUUUGUGUGUGUAUGAUGUUGUGCCUGGGUGUAUAUUUGUGCUUGUGUCGCAUGCGCGCUUGUGGCCCACUGAGGACUGAACAAGUGCAUCAGACCCUGUAGAAAUGAAGUUUUGGUUGUAAGCCACUCUGGAGGGGCUGAGAGCUGAACUCAGGUUCCCUGCAGGAGCACCCAGUGCUCUUGAAGCAUCUCUCCAGCCCCACAUAGUGUGUUUUGAUUAUGCCCACCCUCCUUCCCACAAUUCCUCUUGUUCUCAAACUACCCAACUUUUUGUUUUGUUUUGUUUUGUUUUCUUUUUUGGGACAGGGUCUCUCUAUGUAGCCCUGGCUGUCCUGGAACUCACUUUGUAGACCAGGCUGGCCUUGAACUCUUAAAGAACUGCCUGUCUCUGUCUCCCAGUGUCCUCCUCUGCCUCUUCUUCCUCUUCUUCUAUUCCUCCUCCUCCUCUUAUCAACUUAGUGUUGCCCAGCUAGCCUAGAGUGGAGCCGGACCAGGAGGCUGGUUGACCCACAGGGGUUACAUCAUCAUAAAGAAAACUAACUCUAUAGAGUUCCUUUUUAAUUGAAACCAAAUUUUUCCUGGGAAUUACUUUUUUAAAGAUUUAUUUUUAUUCAUAUGAGUACACUGCAGCUGUCUUCAGACACACCAGAAGAGGGCAUCAGACCCCGUUACAGAUGGUUGAGAGUCACCAUGUGGUUGCUGGGAAUUGAACUCAGGACCUCUGGAAGAGCAGUCAGUGCUCUUAACCACUGAGCCAUCUCUCCAGCCCAGGAGUUAUUUUUAAAACUAGAAAAGAGAUAUUAAGAACAAGGCACUUUCAGAACUUUGGUUCUUUUUUUUUUUUUUUUUUUUCGGACCUGGGGACCGAACCCAGGGCCUUGCGCUUCCUAGGCAAGCACUCUACCGCUGAGCUAAAUCCCCAACCCACUUUCAGAACUUAAGAAAUGUAGGGUUUCUCGUCAGUCGCUGGAUCAUUAUAUGUUAAGAAAAGAACGUGACUGCUUCUCCCUCACUCAGCUUGCUUAAAUAACAUUGCUCAUAUGAUAAAUGUAAUAUGGACUUAAGCUAUUUAGUAUUCAGGGUUGUAGCCCAGCUGGUAGAGCACUUGCCUAGCAUUCGAAAAGCCCCUGGGCUUGAUUCCCGCAUAGAUGGGACCUGGUAGCAUCAAUCUAAUUCCUGCACUUGAGAAUGGGAAAUAGGAGUUCAAGAUUGCCCUUGGCUACAUAGCAUGUUCAAAGCCAGCCUGGGUUCAACACUCCCCCCCCCCCCACUGCACAAAAACUAAAUAUUAAAACAUUGUAAAUAACUGUGUGUGCUACAAAAAAUGUGGGGGUUACAGGUCAACUUGAAGGAGUUGCUUCUCUCCUUCUACUUUGUAGUUCCUGGGCCUAGAACCUCAGGUUAUCAAGCUUGGUAACAAGUGCCUACCCACUGAGCAAUCUUCCUAUCCCCACAAAGGAUUUUUAAAACUAAUGAUUCUACUAUUGUCUUUUGUUUUCUUAAGAUGUAUUUUUAUUAUUUAUUUUUGAGACAGGGCUUCUCUGUGUAGCCCUGGCUGUCUUGGAACUUGCUCUGUACACCAGGCUGGCCUUGAACUCAGAGAUCUGCCUGCCUCUGCCUCCUUUUAACUGAGAGGCAUGUGGCACCACCCCUCAGCAUAAACACAAGGUUUUUAACAAGAAUACUGGGCUAGAGAGAUGGCUUAGUAGGUAAGAGUACUGGCUGCUCUUCAGAGGCCCCAGGUUCAAUUCCCACCACCUACAAUUAUCUAUAAUUACAAUUACUAUAUUAUAAUUAUGUAUUAUAUAUUAUAAUUACAGCUUACAAUUGUCUAUUACUGCAUCGCCACAGGAUCUCAUGCCCUCCUUUGGAGUGCAAAAAGUGUGCAGACAAAAGGCCCACCCAGGGACAUAAAUGUUCUAAGGAGUCAUUCGCAGCCCCUGUGUCCUUUUCCGCCCAAUUUAUCACGGUUUAUCCUGCAGCUAUUAUCACAACAAUGUUGGAGUUUGGUUCUUUGUUUUGUCAGAUUUUUUUUUUUUUUUUUUGCUUCUGUGUGCACGACCUAGGUACAUCCAUGUGCAGAUCCCCUGGAGCUGAUGUUGCAGGCGAUAGAGCCACCCAGUGAGAUUGCUUGGGACGGAACCCGCACCCCAUACCGGAGCAACACGAGCUCUGAGCUGCUGAGGCAGCUCUCCAGACCCUCCCUGCCUUUCGAUUUUGAGACAAGGUCUUACUAUGUAGACCACGCUAGUCUCCAACUUGUGACUUUCUUGCUUUACUCUUCCAAGAUCUUUUUUAGGGGGGAGGGACGAGGUGGGAUGAGGCGCUGUUUCAAUUUUUGAGACUUCUUUGUAUCUAAGCUGCCUUAAACUCCAGAUUCUUCUGUGUAGCUCAGAGUGUGAUGGUUAUCACCUAGGAGACAUUAUCACCUAGGAGACAUUAUCACCUAGGAGACAUUAGCCAGAUGAGGUGAAUUGAGAUAGGAAAGCCCAUCCCAACUGUGUGGGCAGCACCAUAAAAAAAGAGUAAGCUGAGCAUGAUCUUCUCGACUGUCACCAGGGGAUGACCUCCACUUGAAGGACGCAGAGCCUGGUGUCUACUAAUUCAGCCAUGUUGGAUGGAUUUAAAAGACAGAAUUUUCUUCAGACUGGGGAAAGCGUUCAGAAGAGCCAAAAACUUGCAUCGAAUUCCUUGUUGCGACUAACUCCAGCUAUAAAUGUCUAACGUAAAA